rnacentral:tRNA from 1 species
GGCAGAGUGGCCUAGUGGCUAGCGCACUGACCUGAGACUCAGAAGACCUGGGCUCUAUUCCGAGCUCUGCCA